GCAUAAAAACUGUCUUGGAGUUAACAGCAGUUCUCUGUUUCUCCUGAAUGUUAUGUACAAUUUGAUCGGGAUCGGAAGAAUGUUUCAAAAAGUCGGGCUCAGUGAUCAAUUAAUUUAAACAACAGACCGCCAAAAUUUAACCUUGGCCUCCAUGUUGCAACGUCUGCUCUGUCUAAAGGAAGAAGUUUGUUGACCAGACAGCCUGAGAUCGUAUUGCUGUAUCAACCAAAAGAUGCAGAUACACGUAUUUCAUAUGCGCGUCUGUGCAUGAGGAGGAGAUUUCUGAAAAAGAAUAAGUGCUUAUUCAACUUACUGCGAUUUUAACGGGCUUAAAGCUUGGUCCAUGGAUGGUUAUGUUUGAGGAUUUGACAAUUCAACCGCAAGUGCUGCUGCAAGAAAUUAAACAUGCAGAGACCUUACAAAUUACAAAGAAGUCUGAAGAAAAUUUUUAUUGGACAGAUGGGUGUAAAGCACAGACCUGACAUAUAAAUUGAAUUGUGAGAAAUAUGAAUCAGGGAUGCAGGUAGAAAAUGGCAAAUGUGA